GAUGAACGCUGGCGGCGUGCCUAAUACAUGCAAGUCGAGCGAACGGACGAGAAGCUUGCUCUUCUGAUGUUAGCGGCGGACGGGUGAGUAACACGUGGAUAACCUACCUAUAAGACUGGGAUAACUUCGGGAAACCGGAGCUAAUACCGGAUAAUAUUUUGAACCGCAUGGUUCAAAAGUGAAAGACGGUCUUGCUGUCACUUAUAGAUGGAUCCGCGCUGCAUUAGCUAGUUGGUAAGGUAACGGCUUACCAAGGCAACGAUGCAUAGCCGACCUGAGAGGGUGAUCGGCCACACUGGAACUGAGACACGGUCCAGACUCCUACGGGAGGCAGCAGUAGGGAAUCUUCCGCAAAGGGCGAAAGCCUGACGGAGCAACGCCGCGUGAGUGAUGAAGGUCUUCGGAUCGUAAAACUCUGUUAUUAGGGAAGAACAAAUGUGUAAGUAACUGUGCACAUCUUGACGGUACCUAAUCAGAAAGCCACGGCUAACUACGUG
rnacentral:rRNA from 1 species